rnacentral:tRNA from 1 species
GGUCAUCUAGCUCAGCUUUGGUUAGAGCGCUUCGCUGAUAACGAAGAGGCCCGGGGUUCAAAUCCCUGGAUGGCCA